CAGUCGCCGCGGGAAUACGAAAGGGGCUAGCGUUGCUCGGAAUUACUGGGCGUAAAGGGAGCGUAGGCGGACAUUUAAGUCAGGGGUGAAAUCCCAGAGCUCAACUCUGGAACUGCCUUUGAUACUGGGUGUCUUGAGUGUGAUAGAGGUAUGUGGAACUCCGAGUGUAGAGGUGAAAUUCGUAGAUAUUCGGAAGAACACCAGUGGCGAAGGCGACAUACUGGAUCAUUACUGACGCUGAGGCUCGAAAGCGUGGGGAGCAAACAGGAUUAGAUACCCCAGUAGUCCCUGUCUCUUAUAC
rnacentral:rRNA from 1 species